rnacentral:rRNA from 1 species
GGUGAACGCUGGCGGCGUGCCUAAUACAUGCAAGUCGAGCGAACGGACGAGAAGCUUGCUUCUCUGAUGUUAGCGGCGGACGGGUGAGUAACACGUGGAUAACCUACCUAUAAGACUGGGAUAACUUCGGGAAACCGUAGCUAAUACCGGAUAAUAUUUUGAACCGCAUGGUUCAAAAGUGAAAGACGGUCUUGCUGUCACUUAUAGAUGGAUCCGCGCUGCAUUAGCUAGUUGGUAAGGUAACGGCUUACCAAGGCAACGAUGCAUAGCCGACCUGAGAGGGUGAUCGGCCACACUGGAACUGAGACACGGUCCAGACUCCUACGGGAGGCAGCAGUAGGGAAUCUUCCGCAAUGGGCGAAAGCCUGACGGAGCAACGCCGCGUGAGUAAUGAGGGUCUUCGGAUCGUAAAACUCUGUUAUUAGGGAAGAACAUAUGUGUAAGUAACUGUGCACAUCUUGACGGUACCUAAUCAGAAAGCCACGGCUAACUACGUG